AAAUAAUCCCAGCAGUGUUGCCGGGAGAGGACGCGAGAGCGCUGCCUUCACCGUGCUCUCCCGCGAUUCUACUCCUGACUUACCACCGCUCCGGGCUGCUCUCUGAUCCCUGCCCGUCUGACUAUUCUCCCGGUUCCUGAUCCCCGCCUGUCUGACUCCUCUGCCGGUUCCUGAUCCCCGCCUGUCUGACUAUUCUGCUGGUUCCUGAUCCCCGCCUGUCUGACUCUUCUGCCGGUUCCUGAUCCCCGCCUGUCUGACUCCUCUGCCGGUUCCUGAUCCCCGCCUGUCUGACUAUUCUGCCGGUUCCUGAUUCCUGCCUGUCUGACUAUCCUGCUUGCCGAUCCAGAACUCAAAUAAACUAUUGACUCUGUUCCGCGCUCGUCGCCAGUCUGUGCACUUGGGUUCAGCCAAACGAGCUUGUUACACUCACACUCACACACACACACACACACACACACACAUACACACCACUGACAUCAGUUCACUGAUCUAUGCUGUUAUUAAUAUGUUUGUGAAUAUGUUUGUGUAAUGCAGUUUAAAUCUUAUGUGGCUUUAUAACUAAGCAAUUGUGUUUUAAUUGUGUUUUAAAAGACAUUCCUCCAGUCAUAGACAACAGUGUGGUAACAGUGCAUGGCCUUUUGCCCUCUGGUUUAAUUAAAACAUGAUUUAAUUCGUGAAUUUGUCUGUCACAUACACACACACACACACCACUGACAUCAGUUCACUUAUCUGUGCUGUUCUUGCUGUUAUAAUUGCACUAAGAAUUUGUCUGAAUACAGCUGAAUUUGUUAAAUGCUGUUUAAAUGUUAUGUGGCUGUAUAAGCAAUUGUUUUUUAUUUUUAAAAUUGAUAAAUUACUAUUUCCCUUUUGCAGUUUAACCGGCCCAUUUAACCUGAACAGAUGGCCCAUUUGGUAUUGUGUUAUUGUACCAAGGGAUUUACCAAAAAGUGGCCCAAUUUAGCUGAUAUCACCCCUAUGUUUAACAUUACGCCUUUUGACCUCUAAGCACGUAAAUAUGUGCACACUUCUGAUGAAUGUCGAAAUAAGAUGAUAUAUGUGUUAUCUUUACGGGUCUGGGAGCAGAG
ensembl:lncRNA